GAUGAACGCUGGCGGCGUGCCUAAUACAUGCAAGUCGAGCGAACAGACGAGGAGCUUGCUCCUCUGACGUUAGCGGCGGACGGGUGAGUAACACGUGGAUAACCUACCUAUAAGACUGGGAUAACUUCGGGAAACCGGAGCUAAUACCGGAUAAUAUAUUGAACCGCAUGGUUCAAUAGUGAAAGACGGCUUUGCUGUCACUUAUCGAUGGUUCCGCGCCGCAUUAGCUAGUUGGUAAGGUAACGGCCUACCAAGGCAACGAUGCGUAGCCGACCUGAGAGGGGGAUAGGCCACACUGGAACGGAGACACGGUCCAGACUCCUACGGGAGGCAGCAGUAGGGAAUCUUCGGCAAUGGGCGAAAGCCUGACGGAACGACGCCGCGUGAGUGAUGAAGGUCUUCGGAUCGUAAAGCUCUGUUAUUAGGGAAGAACAGAUGUGUAAGUAACUAUGCACGUCUUGACGGUACCUAAUCAGAAAGCCACGGCUAACUACGUG
rnacentral:rRNA from 1 species